AUGGAGAUAACUGAUGUGUGCCCAUUAUGUGGUCUUAGGCGGGAGGACACAUUUCAUGCUUUUUGUAGGUGCCCGAGGGUAUUGGACCUAUGGCGUGCAAUGGCACAAGUGUGGCGAAUCCCUAACCCGGAAGCAGUUCGUAAUACGUGUCCUGAAUGGGUUCUUCAUCUCAUUGCAAGCUGCGAUGAGGGAGACAGACUACGGCUACUCAUGUUGUUAUGGCGCUGUUGGUUCGUGCGAAAUGAAAUAGCACAUGACAAAGCACCACCAAUUUGGUGUCUCACAGAAGUACCUACAAAGCUAUGUAACUUCCAUCUUGGGCACAUGACAAAGCACCAUCCAGCAGUACCCAGCAGGGGAUUGGGACAGGGGGAGGGUGCUGAACAGCCCAUAUCACAUGUGCAGAACAAACUGAAGCCGGCCUGCAAGUGA
rnacentral:rRNA from 1 species